UUAAAGGUUGGCAAGGCAGGUUUCCUGACCUGUGGAAGGAGCCAGCUCUGCAGUCAGCAGGAUGGUUUUGGUGGAACCAACUGACUCGCUGCACUGAUGGUUUCCUGGGCAGUUUUCCAGGUGAGGUGACCAAAGUUGGCUCGUGAGCCAACAAGAUGCUUCCUUCAGGCCUUUCUUCACCCCUUCCAGCAAGAUGGAGCAAUGGAUUAAGAACAGGACAGUGCCUACACAAUGGAGUCCUGAUCCCUGGCUCCAACACUCAGAUAUGAAAGAUUUUCAGAAUUCCCCGGGGGAGCAAACAUAAUCAUAUCAACACAGCUUUAAUUAGCAGCAAUCUGCACUAAUUAUUUUUGCCAUCAGCCAAAUUAUAACUGGAAAAAACCAAGUGCUCUUAAUAGCCCUGCUAGGAGAAAGCCUGUCCACUGCUCCUGUCAGAGGAAUGCAGUCACCACACGCCCUCUAAUGUUGUGUCAACUGUUCAUUAGCCCUGGGAAGCAGCACUUUCACUCCAAGCACAAAGUCCCUGUGGUUUUUCCAAGCUUAGAAUUUUCUAUCCCACAACUCCUGGAGCGAUCCAGUGACUCCUAGCUUCCUAUUAUGCAUAAUAAGUAGCAAGGAAAAGCAACAAACUCGUGUAUAAUGGUUCAUCAGGAG